UCGAGGGGCAGCACGGUGUAGCAAUACACUGGUGGCGACCGGCGCACGGGUGAGUAACACGUGUGCAACCAACCCCGUACCGGGAGAUAACCCGCGGAAACGUGGACUAACAUCCCAUGAUACUCGAGAGCCGCAUGGCUCUAGAUUUAAAAUUCCGGUGGUACGGGACGGGCACGCGCGACAUUAGGUAGUUGGCGGGGUAACGGCCCACCAAGCCGACGAUGUCUAGGGGUUCUGAGAGGAAGGUCCCCCACACUGGAACUGAGACACGGUCCAGACUCCUACGGGAGGCAGCAGUGAGGAAUAUUGGUCAAUGGGCGAGAGCCUGAACCAGCCAAGUCGCGUGAGGGACGAAUGGUCUAUGGCCUGUAAACCUCUUUUGUCAAGGAAGAAUAAAUCGCACGGGUGCGAUCUUGCCAGUACUUGACGAAUAAGCAUCGGCUAACUCCGUGCCAGCAGCCGCGGUAAUACGGGGGAUGCGAGCGUUAUCCGGAUUUAUUGGGUUUAAAGGGCGCGUAGGCGGGACGUCAAGUCAGCGGUAAAAGACUGCAGCUAAACUGUAGCACGCCGUUGAAACUGGCGCCCUCGAGACGAGACGAGGGAGGCGGAACAAGUGAAGUAGCGGUGAAAUGCAUAGAUAUCACUUGGAA
rnacentral:rRNA from 1 species